GAUGAAUGCUGGCGGCGUGCCUAACACAUGCAAGUCGAGCGGCAGCGCGGAGAGUUUACUCUCUGGCGGCGAGCGGCGGACGGCUGAGUAACGCGUGGGAACGUGCCCCAAAGUGAGGAAUAACUGCCCGAAAGGGUGGCUAAUGCCGCAUAUGAUCUUCGGAUUAAAGUCUUCGGACGCUUUGGGAGCGGCCCGCGUCGGAUUAGGUUGUUGGUGAGGUAAUGGCUCACCAAGCCGACGAUCCGUAGCUGGUCCGAGAGGAUGAUCAGCCAGACUGGAACUGAGACACGGUCCAGACUCCUACGGGAGGCAGCAGUGAGGAAUCUUCCACAAUGGGCGAAAGCCUGAUGGAGCAACGCCGCGUGCAGGAUGAAGGCCCUCGGGUCGUAAACUGCUUUUAUAAGUGAAGAAUAUGACGGUAACUUAUGAAUAAGCACCGGCUAACUACGUGCCAGCAGCCGCGGUCAUACGUAUGGUGCAAGCAUUAUCCGGAGUGACUGGGCGUAAAUAGUUUGCGUAGGUGGUUUGUUAAGUAGGUAGUGAAAUCUGGCGGCUCAACCGUACAGGCUUAUUUACUAAACUGGCAAACUCGAGAAUGGUAGAGGUAACUGGAAUUUCUUGUGUAGGAGUGAAAUCCGUAGAUAUAAGAAGGAACACCAAUGGCGUAGGCAGGUUACUGGACCAUUUCUGACACUAAGGCACGAAAGCGUGGGGAGCGAACGGGAUUAGAUACCCCGGUAGUCCACGCCGUAAACGAUGGAUACUAGCUGUUGGAGGUAUCGACCCCUUCAGUAGCGAAGCUAACGCGUUAAGUAUCCCGCCUGUGGAGUACGGUCGCAGGACUAAAACAUAAAGGAAUUGACGGGGACCCGCACAAGCGGUGGAUUGUGUUCUUUAAUUCGAUGAUAAACGAAGAACCUUACCAGGGCUUGACAUCCCGAGAAUUAUGCUGAAAGGCGUGAGUGCUUUAUUGAACUCGGUGACAGAUCUUGCAUGGCCGUCGUCAGCUCGUGUCGUGAGAUGUUUGGUUAAGUCCAUCAACGAGCGCAACCCUUGUCUUCAGUUGUAUUUUUCUGAAGAGACUGCCCCGGCAACGGGGAGGAAGGAGGGGAUGAUGUCAGGUCAGUAUUAGUCUUACGUCCUGGGCUAGAAACGCAAUACAAUGGCAAGUACAAUGCGCAGCGAAGCCGCGAGGUGAAGCAAAUCGCAUCAAAGCUUGUCCCAGUUCGGAUUAGAGGCUGAAACUCGCCUCUAUGAAGUCGGAAUCGCUAGUAAUCGCAGAUCAGCAAGCUGCGGUGAAUACGUUCCCGGGUCU
rnacentral:rRNA from 1 species